rnacentral:rRNA from 1 species
ACUCAAAGGAAUUGACGGGGACCCGCACAAGCAGUGGAGCAUGUGGUUUAAUUCGAUGCAACGCGAAGAACCUUACCCAGGCUUGACAUGCACAGGAAUAUAGCAGAAAUGUUAUAGCCUUUCGGGGCCUGUGCACAGGUGCUGCAUGGCUGUCGUCAGCUCGUGCCGUGAGGUGUUUGGUUAAGUCCAGCAACGAGCGCAACCCUUAUCAUUAGUUGCCAACAUUUCGGAUGGGAACUCUAAUGAGACUGCCUAGGUUAACUAGGAGGAAGGUGAGGAUGACGUCAAGUCCGCAUGGCCCUUAUGUCUGGGGCUACACACGUGCUACAAUGGUCGGUACAGAAGGCAGCAGAACCGCGAGGUGAAGCAAAUCCCAAAAAGCCGGCCCCAGUUCAGAUUGUAGUCUGCAACUCGACUACAUGAAGAUGGAAUUGCUAGUAAUGGCGAGUCAGCAACAUCGCCGUGAAUACGUUCCCGGGUCUUGUACACACCGCCCGU